ACCGACUCAUCAAAGGACACUACAAAAACAGGUUGUGAGGCUCGUGUUCAAUUUAGUGUCAGUAGAGAGGGGAUUUGGACAGUGCAAAAGGUUGUAACCGAUCACGAUCAUUAUCUUGAUAGUCCCAAUAAGUUGCACAAGUUGAGGUCCCAGCGACAGCGACGUGCUGUAGAAGCGGACAGAGCGCUAAUUGGCCAGAUACGUGAAGCUGGGAUGAAGCCAUCUCAGGUGUAUGAUUUCAUGAUAGCGUUCUACGGAGGAGUCGACAAAGUGCCAUUCUCAAAAACUGAUUGCAAUAAUGAGAUUGGUAAGGAAAGGAACAAGUAUUUGGAAUCCAAUGAUGCAAAAGCACUAUUAGAAUACUUGAAGAAUAAGCAGAGGGAGGAUCCAAUAUUUUUUUAUGCGAUUCAAGUAGAUGAGAAGGAUGGUCAGAUAGCUAAUUUUUUUUGGGCAGAUGGUCAGUCCAUUAUGGAUUACACAUGCUUUGGUGAUGCCGUAUCAUUUGACACCACGUUUAAUACCAAUAAGUUUGAAUUGCCUUUUGCUCCAAUCCUUGGUGCCAAUCAUCACAAGCAGACAGUAAUAUUUGGGGCUGCACUGAUAUUUAAUGAGUCCAUUGAUUCAUUUGUUUGGCUAUUUGAGACAUUUCUCACGGCAAUGUCAGGCAAGCAUCCAAGCAUAAUUUUCACUGAUCAAGACAAAGCCAUGGACGGAGCAAUUGCUUAUGUAUUUCCAAAUACAAGCCUCCGUCCUUGCUUGUGGCACAUCUAUCUUAAUGCUGCUAAACAUCUCGGGCAUGUAAUUCAUAAGCAUCCCGAGAAGUUUCUACCGGAUUUUAAGAGAUGUGUCUAUGAAGACAGAUCUGAAUGUAUCUUCAAGAGGAAGUGGCAAGAAUUGUUGCAGAAGUAUAACCUUGAGGACAACGAAUGGAUAGCAACACUGUAUAAAUUGAGGGAAAAGUGGGCUGCAAUUUAUCGUGACUCAUUUACAGCUGAUAUGAACUCGACUCAAAGGAGCGAAGGAAUGAAUAAUGUCUUCAAGAAAAGAUUCCGUAGGAAACUUGGUCUUUCCGAACUCCUUGUAGAGUGUGAGAAGGUUUCUGCCAGCCUUCGCGAGAAUGAGUUGGAUGAAGAUUUUAGUUCGCAUCGAAAGAACCCGGUUACUUAUAGCAAUUUACCAUUGUUGAAGACUGCUCAAUCGUAUACAAGUUGGAUGUUUUCCGAGUUUGAGAAAGAAUUUAAAAUGCAAUUUACAUUGUCUAGUAAACUGCAAACAAAUGAAGGGCCAAUCUUCACAUAUAUGGUUACACAUAUGCGCAGUGAGCAUGGAGCAACAACUGUAUUCAACAGUACGGAUAUGACUGUUACAUGUUGCAGAAAGUUUGAAUCCGUAGGUAUGUGUACACUUUUUUUAUUCCAAUAUGAUUUUUAA
rnacentral:rRNA from 1 species